AACAAAAUCCCUAGAUCUCUCCUGUUGCUCCCCACGCACGCCGGCGCCCACGCCUCCGACCGCCGCCCCGCGCCGCCCGGGGCUACCGCCGGUCUAUCCCACCGCUGCCCCACGCCGCCCUUCCUCUGUAGCACCGCCCCACGCUGCCCUUCCUCUGUAGCACCGCCCCACGCUGCCCUGUCCCUACAGCGCAGCCCAACUCCGUCCCGCCUCUCUCCGCCGCCGGCUCCACACCCUCGUGAUCUCUCUCCGGUUGGCCGCCUCUUUCCAACAUCCCGGGCCCGACCUCCCCAUCUCCACCUUCCAGCUCACGAAGACACACGCAGCGGCAAAUUUGGAUGGGGGCAGCGUGCGCCUGGGCAAGGGCAUCUCUCUCUGUCUUUGGCUGGGCAGGGGCACAGAAGCGGCUGAGUUAAACAGAGGACAACUGUUUGUAACAUUGAGCCGAUGAAGAGAAGUAGCAGAAUAUUCGACGCCACCUUAGUGCAUAAGGAGGAAAAAUGGCAAGCGCAAGAGUCACAAACAAUAUAUAUAUCUUCUUGUGAGGUUGUUGUCAAUGUUGUGAUCACAAGGGAUGCAACACUGCCUUAUGAAUAUGAUGGUUUACGAUUUGUCGCCGAUGCUAUCACAAGGUCCAUUGCAUGGCCAUCUAGCAAGAUGAAACCCUACAAGCCAGGGGCAUCUUCCUCCGUGUUAAUCUUGUCUGAGAUCUCUGAUGGUGGUGGAAAGACAACAUUUGUUUAUUUCAUUAUCGAUAAGAAAACGUGA
rnacentral:rRNA from 1 species